rnacentral:rRNA from 1 species
AGCGAACGCUGGCGGCAGGCCUAACACAUGCAAGUCGAACGAACUCUUCGGAGUUAGUGGCGGACGGGUGAGUAACACGUGGGAACGUGCCUUUUGGUUCGGAAUAACUCAGGGAAACUUGUGCUAAUACCGAAUGUGCCCUUCGGGGGAAAGAUUUAUCGCCAUUAGAGCGGCCCGCGUCUGAUUAGCUAGUUGGUGAGGUAACGGCUCACCAAGGCGACGAUCAGUAGCUGGUCUGGGAGGAUGACCAGCCACACUGGGACUGAGACACGGCCCAGACUCCUACGGGAGGCAGCAGUGGGGAAUCUUGCGCAAUGGGCGAAAGCCUGACGUAGCCAUGCCGCGUGAAUGAUGAAGGUCUUAGGAUUGUAAAAUUCUUUCACCGGGGACGAUAAUGACGGUACCCGGAGAAGAGGCCCCGGCUAACUUCGUG